rnacentral:lncRNA from 1 species
CUGUUCAGUUACAAUGCUGGCUGUUGUAGUUAAUGUGAGUUCAGUAGAGGUGGUCGUGGUGACUGUAGUGGUUACAGCCUCAGUGGAAGUGCCUGCAGUUGUGGUGGGACACAGUUCAGUUGCAGUGCUGGAGGUUGUAGUGUGGGUGGUAUCUGUUGUUGUUGUAACUGCAGUGGGAGUAUCUCCAGUUGUUGUGGCAGUGGUGUCUGUUGUGGUUGUAACUCCAGUGGAAGUACCUUCAGUUGUUGUGGUAGACUGUUCAGUUGCAGUGCUGGCUGUUGUUCUGGUUGUGGAUUCAGUAGAGGUGGUUGUGUGCUGGCUGUUGUGGUGGUGGAAUUAGUAGAGGUGGUAGUGUUGGCUGUUGUGGUUGUAGUCUCAAUGGAAGUUCCUGCAGUUGUGGUGGUAGACUGUUCAGUUGCAGUGCUUGCUGUGGUUGUCAUUGCAGGUUCAGCAGAUGUGGUAGUGGUGGCUGUUGUGGUUAUUGUCUCAGUGGAAGUGCCAGCAGUUUUGGUGGAAGACUGUUCAGUUGCAGUGCUUGCUGUUGUUGUGGUUGUGGGUUCAGUAGAAAUGGUAUUGGUUGCUGUUAUUGUUGUAGUCUCAGUGCGGUGAGGAAGUGCCAGCAGUUGUGGUAGCAGGCUGUUCAGUUGUAGUGCUGGUUGCUGUUGUGGUUGUGGGUUCAGUAGAGGUGGCAGUGAUGACUACUGUGUUUUUGGUCUCAGUAGCAGUGGCUACAGUUGUGGUGGCAGACUCUUUAGCUGCAGUGCUUAUUGUGGUUGUCAUUGUGGGUUCAGUAUAAGUGGUAGUGGUGGCUGUUGUGGCUGUUGUCUCAGUGGAAGUGCCUGCAGUUGUGGUGGCAGACUGUUCAGUUACCAUGCUGGUUGUUGUACUGCUGGGUUCAGUAGACGUGGCAGUGGUGUCUGUUUUGUCUGUAAUUCCAUUGGAAGUACCUUCAGUUGCUGUGGCAGACUGUUCAGUUGUAGUGCUGGCUGUUGUUGUGGUUGUGCAUUCAGUAGAGGUGGUAGUGGUGGCUGUUGUGGUUGUAGUCUGAGUGGAAGUGCCUACAGUUGUGGUAGUACUCUGUUCAGUUGCAGUGUUGGCUGUUGUUGUGGCUGUGGAUUCAGUAGCGGUUGUGGUGGUGGCUGUUGUGGCUGUUGUCUCAGUGGAAGUGCCUGAAGUUGUAGUGGCAGACUGUUCAGUUGCAG